rnacentral:rRNA from 1 species
ACUCAAAGGAAUUGACGGGGGCUCGCACAAGUGGUGGAGCAUGUGGUUUAAUUCGAUGAUACGCGAAAAACCUUACCUGGGCUUAAAUGUGUAGUGCCGGUGAUGAAAGUCACUUUUUCUUCGGAACACUAUGCAAGGUGCUGCAUGGCUGUCGUCAGCUCGUGUUGUGAGAUGUUGGGUUAGGUCCCGCAACGAGCGCAACCCAUACCCUAUGUUGCUAACUACUCUUCGGAGUAGAGGACUCUUAGGAAACUGUCCGGGUCAACCGGGAGGAAGGCGUGGAUGACGUCAAGUCCUCAUGGCCCUUAUGUCCAGGGCUACACACGUGCUACAAUGGGCUGUACAAAGAGAUGCAAGACCGCGAGGUGGAGCAAAUCUAUGAAAGCAGUUCUUAGUUCGGAUUGGAGUCUGCAACUCAACUCCAUGAAGCUGGAAUCACUAGUAAUCGCGGAUCAGCAUGCCGCGGUGAAUAUGUUCUCGAGCCUUGUACACACCGCCCGUCACACCACUCGAGUGGAUCUUACCCGAAGUUGUUGCACCAACUCGCAAGAGAGGAAGGCACCGAAGGUAUGGUUCGUAAGGAGGGUGAAGUCGUAAC